rnacentral:rRNA from 1 species
CCUACGGGAGGCUGCAGUGGGGAAUAUUGCACAAUGGGGGAAACCCUGAUGCAGCGACGCCGCGUGAGUGAAGAAGUAAUUCGUUACGUAAAGCUCUAUCAGCAGGGAAGAAAUACUGACCUUACGGUCAGCAGACGGUACCUGAGUAAGAAGCCCCGGCUAACUACGUGCCAGCAGCCGCGGGAAUACGUAGGGGGCAAGCGUUAUCCGGAUUUACUGGGUGUAAAGGGAGCGGAGACGGUGCGCCAAGUCUGGAGUGAAAUGCCGCAGCUUAACUGCGGAACUGCUUUGGAAACUGGCGAACUAGAGUGCGGGAGGGGUAAGCGGAAUUCCUAGUGUAGCGGUGAAAUGCGUAGAUAUUAGGAGGAACACCGGUGGCGAAGGCAGCUUGCUGGACCGUAACUGACGUUGAGGCUCGAAAGCGUGGGGAGCGAACAGGAUUAGAUACCCCAGUAGUC